rnacentral:rRNA from 1 species
GACAGAGGGUGCAAACGUUGUUCGGAAUUACUGGGCGUAAAGCGUGCGCAGGCGGUUGUGCAAGACAGAUGUGAAAUCCCCGGGCUUAACCUGGGAAUUGCAUUUGUGACUGUACGGCUAGAGUGUGUCAGAGGGGGGUAGAAUUCCACGUGUAGCAGUGAAAUGCGUAGAGAUGUGGAGGAAUACCGAUGGCGAAGGCAGCCCCCUGGGAUAACACUGACGCUCAUGCACGAAAGCGUGGGGAGCAAACAGG